AAAAGUUUCAACCACUGGGGCUCGUCCGGGAUUUGAACCCGGGACCUCUCGCACCCAAAGCGAGAAUCAUACCCCUAGACCAACGAGCCACGCUGACGAGGGUUUGUAUACUUUUCCUCUGAACCUUACUUCUCCGUCAGCAAUUGGCUGCCAGGCCGCUCUGGAGUUUUACCUUAUGUUUGUGACAUUUACCUUUCGCUUUGCUUAGCUCUUCCGUCUUGAAGAAGUCUCACGUCUGACUCUAGCCUCGCUAAUUCUCCUCGAUCCUUGUCCUGGACGCCUCCAGACGCCGGAUGGGGUGAGAAGAGGCAGCUCUUCAGACGUCAGGCCACCUGUCGGUGCUCCCGCAAGCCCCGCCGGGAGGAGUCUAGCCUUGAGCUCCAGCGUGGGGGGAGCCUGGAGGGAGCCUGGAGAGAACCGAGUUGGAGCCUGAGGGCCCGAGCUGGGGUCGAUUGCAACAUUGUAGGGUCCUGAGCCCCAGGACAGACGCACAGGAUGUGUAUCUGCCGGGCUGCUACUGCUUCGCGCGAGUAUAAAAUCCUAGGGGCAGGACUGAUGGGCAUCAACAUACGGAGAGCCAGUAUUUUGAUCUGUUGGAGGUGAACCAGUCUGGGGCGUGUUCGUAAAGUCCAGACCCCUGCAGUUUCCCAGAAUGAGAAUCAAAUGUUCCAUCUCUCUACCUCUGCUUAAAUUGUUUCCUCAGUCUGGAAUUCUCUCUCCCAGUCUCAUCCCAAUUCACGUCAAAUCCUGUUCCUCCUUCCGGCUCCAGCUCAAAAUGAUUUUUGUGGAACUAUAAAAAUCUAUAAACAGCUGAAUAAAUUAAAAGGGCCUCCCCCUGAAUGAACGUAUGUGUAUAGAGUGAAUAAAGGUCUCAGGGGUUUGUCCCGCAAAUUAAGAGUCCCAAAAUUAAGAGUCCCAAGGGCCGCCGGAUAUAUAUUCUGUACCAGCGAGUGGUCUUGGAUCUCCAAACUUUGGACCUCAGGCAGCAACCUAAGUUCAGCUAGAACAUCCAACCCAGAACUUCCUUAGUUGGUUGGAAGAGUUAGUGCACACUCCCUUUUUAACUGAGAACCGUGCCCAACAAGUCCAACUUUUCAAGAGGUGAUUCUCGAAGUUCAUACAACCAUGCUGAGUUUAUCUUUGGAACGGGGUAAGGUCUGGAGAAAAUGACCCCAGAAGAGGGAAAACGACGUAAGAAACAGGAGAGCAACGUCUCGCUCGAUGGGUGGUUGCAACCCCCAAAACAUCAACACUUCCUUCGAGCCGGAGUUGAACCAGCGACCUAAGGAUAACCAUAUUGUUUUACACUACAGUCCUCCGCUCUACCAGCUGAGCUAUCGAAGGAAAUACAAAAACUGCGUUCCUACUAUUCUAUAUUGAGGACAUUGAUAAGCAGAGGUUCGUGCAUAAUGGCCCACUAGUUGCGGGUGCAUGGACACCACUUAGCAGCCAGCUUAGGAGAAAGUCCUACAUCCGCGGUUCUGCAGACAACCCCUCUAGAACUGGAUUCUCUUGCUUCAGGUACGGGCUUCCAAGCAGGACCAGAGAGUGGGCUCUUCACCGGCACACCUAGAGCCUGUGCAUCCCGAGGCCGCCCCGGACCGUGGCGAUCUGCUCGCCCCCGGGCUGUUCUCUUCACGUAGUGCGCUGCCCGGGGCCUCCCUGGCAUGAUGUGUGUCUAAAGUGGGAGAGGACACCCGGGCAUCGGAGAACUAAGGGCUGAGGUGGUGGAACAUACAAUUCUGAUCGCGCAACUGCGAGCCAGAGAGAAGGGCGGGCCUCGGAGCUCUGGCCUGGGCCUUUCUUUUCCACACUUCCUGCGCUCGCCUCCAAAUCCAGGAGCGUUUGCACAUGCGAGCUGCUUCUCUCUUCCGCUUACACGUCCACAGAGUAGGGGAGGGAGGGUAUAUAAUACAUAUGGCUAAACCCAAUGCUGCUAUGAGAACUGACUUGGAGAAACUAUUUUAAGGUUUUUCAAAGAGGAAGCCACAGUUUCUUUGAGUCAAUAACAAAUUUAGUGACCCAAGUCCCGACGCUAAUUUUCCCGCUGAGAUACUUAAAUGUUCGAAAAUCCACUGAAACAUGAAAACUUGUCGGACCCCCAAAUCAGGACAGCUGACGCCGGCUCUUCCCCUGUGGGGAGGGGACCUUGCUCUGGGCUCUAAAUCUGCCCAGAGCGGGUGCUGAGGGCUCGAUCCCAACUCUUUCCCCACAGCCCUUAGGCCCCCGCUCCGGCUCCGGCCGCCCUCAGGGCUCUUGCUGCAGGUCCGCACAGCCAGGUCGUCCGCGGAGGCUGGCAGCGCUCCCCGCAGUUUGUAAUGGACUCCGCCACAAUCUAGGCAGCGAAGCAGCACUUGCGCAUUAGCACUGGAAACUGAGAGGAAGCGGUUCCGCUCGGGUGUUUAUUUGGCACAUCUGAACACUGGCGAGAAGAUAUGAGCUGAAUUUUCGCAGGGGUUAAAGUAACGAGAGAGAGGUCUCUGUUCCUGGAUUUCUCAGUUAACAAGGAAUAAAGAAACAAAGAACAGAUAAGAGGGAUCUUACUGUGAUGACACAAAUGUUUUAAACCUUGAUUAUUGUGAUGGUGGUACAACUUGAUAAAUUUACCAAAAUAAUCAUUGAAUUAUACACUUACAAAGAUGAAUUUAAGAUAGGCUGGAAGGAAAAAAAUGGAAAAGACAUACCAUUGAAAACUCUUUAAAGGAAAAAGAAUGAUGUAGUUAUAUCAAUAUCAGACAACAGAUUCUUUAAGAGUGCUUGCCUGUAAGCCAGACGAUAGCUUACAUCAGAAUUCGACAAUCCUAGCACCCUGAUCCUGGACUUCCAGCCUCCAGAACUUGUGGGAUGCUGAAGAUGGAGGAGUCUGUGCAUGUGUGAGGGCAGGAGGUAUAUGGGAACUCUAUGCACUUUCUACUCAAUUUUUCUGUGAACUUAAAACUGCCCUGAAAAGAAAUUCUAUUUAAACUCUCCACAAUAUCCUUGAAUUUUUAUGUAUCUAAUAACAUGUCUUCAAAGGUAAGAAACAAAAGUUGACAUAACUGAGAGAAGAAAUAGAAAAAUACACAAUCAUCAUUGGAUAUUUGAACAAUCCUCUCUCAGUAAGUAUUAAACAAGUAGACAAAAUAUUCAGUGAGGACUUCGAAGGUUUUAUGAACACAGUAACCAAUAUCUGGUACUGGGAGGUAACUGGAUAGAUUCCUAACAAAAAGGAACUUUGAAUAACGUUUACUAUGCAUAUGCCAACUACAAACUGGCAUUUGCCAUCUGCCUCUGCAAGGAUUAAGUCACUAGCCACUGCAGUCCCUGACCUUCAACACACCCUGAAAGGGGUUCAGGGUGGAGAUCAGGAAUGAGGCAAUGUGUGCUCUGGGAAAA